UGGUGGAUAUCUCGGCUUGGAAACCGAUGAAGAGCGUGACAAGCUGCGAUAAGCUCAGGGUAGUCGCAGGUAGACUUUGAUCCUGAGAUUCUCGAAUGGGACAUCCUUUCAUGGCCUAAUAAUCCAUGAAAACUCCGUUAGGGGUGGGGAACCCACCGAAGUAAAACAUUUUAGUAGGUGGAGGAAAAGAAAACAAUAGUGAUUCCGUAAGUAACGGCGAGCGAAAGCGGAAAUGAUCAAACCGAAUCCCCAAGGGAAACGUUGGGGAGAUGUGGAGUACGGGUCCAGCACGACCUCGGUAAUGAAGGUGAAUACUUCUGGAAUGAAGAGCUAUAGAGCGUGAUAGCCGCGUAACUGUAAAUUACAAGGUUGAUACUGGAUACCCAGAGUAGUGCGGGAUGGUUUUCUCGUAUGAAUAUGCCAGACACAAACUGGCAAAUCUAAAUAUUCUCCAAGACCGAUAGCGAAUUAGUAGCGUGAGCAAACGAUGAAAAGUAACCCGGAAGGGUAGUGAAAAGUGCUUGAAACCAAAUAGUUUGUUAAGGAUGCGGCUCGAAAGGAUAGAUUCUAGUCGAAGAUAAGCUGGUAACAGUACAUUCGAGACUAGAGGACCAGAGUUGCAUCAUCCGUCUGGAAACAUGGGCCAGGGAGUUUAUAGUAGAAGCGAGCUUAAGGAGAUAACCUCUGUAGGCAUAGGGAAACCGA
rnacentral:rRNA from 1 species